CUGGGGCAGCGGGUCGUGCGCGGCACGCAGGGCUAGCGGGAAGGCCUCGGCGAGCUUGGUGUUGUUGGGCAGGCCAUGCACGCGGCUGUCGGGCAGCGGCGUGCGGUGGCGGCACACCGGGCACGCGAUGGCGCCUGGCGGGCCGUGCCAGGGCGGCGGGCGCAGCGGGCGUUCAGGCGCGGUGGUAGCGGCGGCGGCGGCGGCGGCGCGGAGCUGCAGUUGGGUCAAGCACUCCUGGCAGAAGGUGUGCAAGCACGCCAGCAGCUUGGGCGCGCGCCGGUCUGCGUCGAAGUAGUUGUAGCAGAUCUUGCACUCGUAGUCCUCGAGCGGAGGGAGGCCGGAGAUCGCCACCGCUGCGCUCCGGGCUCCGGCCUCCCGACCGUCCCGGGCUCCCACCGCGGUGCUUCCUGCUCCUGUGGAGCUCCCAGGGCUGCUGGUUGGACUCUGCUCGCCGCCGCCGCUGUCGCUUGCCGGCGCUGCCAUGGCAUGAUCCGCCCCUCAUCAGGGUUAAGGAGCUCACCGGUGAUGUAA
rnacentral:lncRNA from 1 species